CUACUGGCAACAGAACAAGGAUCAGUGGAGGAAUUCCAAAGAUAUACCUAAAAGAAACUGAAUUCAACAUGACCUUUAACUAUUCUCCUUGAGUGGAAGAUAUUUCACAUGUAUGCCUGCUCCUGAUUAAGAUUACAAACAAUGCUGCUUGGCACCCAAGGAACUAAAGACUGUCACAUAUAUCAUAAACUUCCUGAUAAUCUAUUACAUCAUUAUCUGCAAUACAAAAGUUCGAUCUCCAAGUUAAUCACUGGGGCGCCUUCACAGCACCCCCCGCCUCCCUUCUCCUGGUCACCUGCGUCCUCCCCGAGCGCUUCCCGUGCGCCUGGACCAGAGGAGCGCGCGGAUUCCCAAAGCACCGCAGGAGCAAUGACUUGGUCUUCUGAUUCCGGGCGAUUUGAGGCAAAAGACUUCCCAGAUGACCUCUAGCCGCCUUGGCAAAGUUAGGCGACUAGGAUCUAAAAGCAUCGGUUGCUAAUGAGUCCACAGAAGCCGCAAAUGUGUGGGGCAAGAGCUGGGCUAUUGCAAGCGGGAGGCAGGGAGGAGGCGUAGCAGCUCUUGCCGCAGAUGUGGUGGUGGACGAUGCCAAGCCCUCUUGUUUUUUUUAAAAAAAAAAAAAAGGGAAGUAAAGAAUGAUGAAUGAUUAAGAGGGCCAUGGGCCACUCCCUCGGCCUCUCUAACCUCUCUUGGUCUCUUUCCUCUCUGUCUUUUGUACAUGCACCUGCCCAGGUGGGAUCUCAAAGGACAAUAAAACGGUGGGUCAGUCUCCUCUGGUGAGAGCUAUCUUUGGACCUAGAAAUUAAAGCCCAAAUUAGGCGGAGAAAGUGGAGACUGAUAAUAGCUCCUAAUAAUGUCUCCCACCUGUGCUACCACUAAAUUGGUUAAUAAAUCAAAUUAUCCAUCUUGA